rnacentral:pre_miRNA from 1 species
AGUGGGAUUGCUGGUUCACAUGGUAGUUUUUUUUUAUUUUUUAAGCAACCUCCAUACUGUUUUCCAUAAUGGCUAUACCAAUUUAUAUUCCCACUAACAGU